GUGGGGAAUAUUGGACAAUGGGCGAAAGCCUGAUCCAGCCAUGCCGCGUGUGUGAAGAAGGUCUUCGGAUUGUAAAGCACUUUAAGUUGGGAGGAAGGGCAGUAAGUUAAUACCUUGCUGUUUUGACGUUACCAACAGAAUAAGCACCGGCUAACUUCGUGCCAGCAGCCGCGGUAAUACGAAGGGUGCAAGCGUUAAUCGGAAUUACUGGGCGUAAAGCGCGCGUAGGUGGUUCAGCAAGUUGAAGGUGAAAUCCCCGGGCUCAACCUGGGAACUGCCUCCAAAACUACGGAGCUAGAGUACGGUAGAGGGUAGUGGAAUUUCCUGUGUAGCGGUGAAAUGCGUAGAUAUAGGAAGGAACACCAGUGGCGAAGGCGACUACCUGGACUGAUACUGACACUGAGGUGCGAAAGCGUGGGGAGCAAACAGGAUUAGAUACCCUUGAGUCC
rnacentral:rRNA from 1 species